UUGAACGCUGGCGGCAGGCCUCACACAUGCAAGUCGAGCGGAUGAAGGGAGCUUGCUCCUGGAUUCAGCGGCGGACGGGUGAGUAAUGCCUAGGAAUCUGCCUGGUAGUGGGGGAUAACGUCCGGAAACGGGCGCUAAUACCGCAUACGUCCUGAGGGAGAAAGUGGGGGAUCUUCGGACCUCACGCUAUCAGAUGAGCCUAGGUCGGAUUAGCUAGUUGGUGGGGUAAAGGCCUACCAAGGCGACGAUCCGUAACUGGUCUGAGAGGAUGAUCAGUCACACUGGAACUGAGACACGGUCCAGACUCCUACGGGAGGCAGCAGUGGGGAAUAUUGGAGAAUGGGCGAAAGCCUGAUCCAGCCAUGCCGCGUGUGUGAAGAAGGUCUUCGGAUUGUAAAGCACUUUAAGUUGGGAGGAAGGGCAGUAAGUUAAUACCUUGCUGUUUUGACGUUACCAACAGAAUAAGCACCGGCUAACUUCGUG
rnacentral:rRNA from 1 species